GUUUUCAUAUCUCUGAAUGCUUGAGCAUCUGCGAUUCUUGUAGCAAUUACCACAUAUAGAGGCCAGAUCUGAUCGCUGGAUGUAAUGUUUCAAUUACAGAGAAAACGAAAAUGGCAACCAAAUGACAGGAGAUCACAGCCCCUGGGCCCAGGAGCACUGUGCUGUGACCAGCCAAGUCACCCAGACCGGAGUCUGAUAUGCGACAGCAAACAACUCUGACUCCUUGGGACUGCCUCCCCAAGGCCUGCUCAGGAAUCGGGAACUUAAAAUCAACCGGAAGCAGAGCAUGUGCGCUCCAGGGUGCCUGAGUAUGAUGGAUGGCACAGCUGGAGGAGCUGGCUGUGUUGCAGACAGCACAGCCCCGCCUAUGCCAAUUAGGUUGAUGGGUGGUGACUGAGAAACAUGCUGGAUUUACUCAAAUAGAUCCUCACUCCCUAACUCACCAACUUUUUAGAGAUCAUAACAAAAAGAAUAAGGAUGAGAUGGGAAAAAAAAAAAGAGAGAGAGAAAAAAGUGUGCUUUGACUGCCCUGCUGAUACUGUGAACUGACCGUGCAAAAACAAAAGCAGUUUUCCUCCUACCAGGCAUCUCCCAGGGUGUGGCCAGAGUGCACAGAUAGCCCCUGUUAACUCUUUAGAGCACAUUUCCUUUUGCUUCCAGAUACCACAGUGACUCAGGGCAUAGCUUCUAGAUCUAAGCGAUUAAGAGAGGUAGGUUUAAAGCCCAGCUCCAUUACAACCUUUGACAAAGUACUUAGCUCCAGCCUCUGUCUCAUGAAAUGCUACUCCUCAUGUAAUGCUACUCCUUAGAUGAGAUGCUACUCCUCCUGACCUUACAGCGUUGAGGUGCAAAUUAAGUAAAAUAACAUGGUAUAACCACUCAGCAGUGGACGUAAAACUCAACGCAUGAUAGCUAUUGAUAGUGUUUUUGAUAAUUUCAGCAAUGAUAAAAGUUUUCCACCCUUCAACUGUUCAAAGUCUGAAGUAGAGGGAAAUGUAGGGACACGGAAUGAUUUAGAAAAAAAUGAAUAUUUUAUGUUUGGCAAGGAUGGGGAAAAACACAAAGUAUUAUUUUUGACAGCUCUGAGUUCACAUAAUAGACGACAUUUAAACAACGUAUAACUGGAUACGUCUACCAAAUAUGGAUCACCCCAGCCUUAUCCACUUAACCAUGGCAUUAUCAUUAUUCUCUUUUAAAAGCUUAAGACAAAUGGGCCAGGCAUGGUGGCUCACGCCUGUAAUCCCAGAACUUUGGGAGGCUGAGGCAGGUGGGCUGCUUGAGGCCAGAAGUUCGAGACUAGCCAGGCCAACAUGGCGAAACCCCGUCUCUACUGAAAACACAAAAAUUAGCCAGGCAUGGUGGCACACACCUGUAGUCCCAGCUACUGGGGAAGGAGAGACAUGAGAAUCGCUUGAACCCAGGAGGCAGAGGCUGCAGUGAACUGAGAUCCUGCCACUGCACUCCAGCCUGGGUGACACAAUGAUACUCUGUCUCAAAAAAAAACAGAAACAAAAACCAAAAAAACUUAAGAUAAAUGUUUUCCGUUUCUAAGGCAAACAAAUAAAAUCUG
rnacentral:lncRNA from 1 species